rnacentral:rRNA from 1 species
GACGAACGCUGGCGGCGUGCUUAACACAUGCAAGUCGAACGGAAAGGCCCUGCUUUUGUGGGGUGCUCGAGUGGCGAACGGGUGAGUAACACGUGAGUAACCUGCCCUUGACUUUGGGAUAACUUCAGGAAACUGGGGCUAAUACCGGAUAGGAGCUCCUGCUGCAUGGUGGGGGUUGGAAAGUUUCGGCGGUUGGGGAUGGACUCGCGGCUUAUCAGCUUGUUGGUGGGGUAGUGGCUUACCAAGGAUUUGACGGGUAGCCGGACUGGGAGGGUGACCGGCAAAAUUGGGACGGAGAUACGGCCAAGACGCAUACGGGAGGAAGAAGUGGGGAAUAGUGCAAAAUGGGCGGAAGCCUGAUGAAGAAACGCCGCGUGCGGGAUGACGGCCUUCGGGUUGUAAACCGAUUUCGCCUGUGACGAAGCGUGAGUGACGGUAAUGGGUAAAGAAGCACCGGCUAACUACGU